UUUUCAGUCCUUGCGGAUCUACUUCCGGUCUGGGAGUAUAUAAACCCCCGGGGCAUGGAUGUCCACAGCAUGUCUCCUGGGAACACAUGGCUGAUAGUGACUCCUGGUAAGCACCCUUUUUUUUGAGCAACUUGUGCCUUGUUACUUGCUUUAUAUAGUGAGCACUGUAUUGAUAUAUAUCAUUCUGAACAGGCUGGACUAAUUAGCACAUAGGAACAACUGAGAACCCAGGAUACGGCACACUGGGAUUGUGAUCUCAAUAGGUAAAAGCCUGUCCAGAGAGCUAAUGUUUAUUUAUGACAAUAGAAAACCAAUGGGAGGACUAACAGUUUUUUGUUGUUCCCAGUUGCUAUGGGAUCAUUUAUGUUGUUGAUAGUCUGCUGGAUGUACACACGGCUGCUGCUGAGCUCAUGAAAUCAGAGCCGUCCACCUUGAAAAUGAGCUGGAUAACUUUACAAAGCUGUUCCUUAACCAGAACAAGUGAAAAGGUGAAUGGAAGAAGACUUUCUGAGUUAUUCAGACACUUGGAGGACGUGAGUAGUAAACGCUGGAUCACAGCGCUCCACCAUUCAUCAGCUGGGAAUGUUAAUGGUCCGAGAGCUGCAAUGUGAGGCAACAGACGAAAUCCGUGCUGGGAAUGUUCUCAUUUCCUAAUAGAAAUUGGAAACUGUACUCAAGAUGAUAUCCCGUUCAUUUAUCCAGUCUAUCCAGCAACAAGUCGGGUUACAUUUUCUUCAAUGCUGCCAGAAUCUUUAUUACACAAGUUUGCAUUAUUUUGAUAUAAAGAUAAAACCGUAAAAAAAACAAAUAUACAUGUUUUCCUAUACAUCUAAAUUUAAAGUGUGAUUUAGAAAGAAAAAAAAUCAAGCUGUAAUUUAAAUAUUUAUUUUAUUAUACAUAUACUGUAUACUGUAUGUUAGAUAACUAGAAAUGGGUAAGUGGAAAACGUCAGAAUACUGUAUGAAGAGGUGUAAAGGAGGUUUCAGAAUACCAGGGAAACCCUCCACCUUCUCUACACCCAGUGUCACCCAGCUUAUGUACUCACACUUCCCAUUUACUGCAGUAUGUGCAGUCACUAGAGGAAGACUAGCAGUAUUACCAAGAAGCUAAAGGGGAACUCCAGCUACGGCAAAAGAUGUUCAUGAUGCAGCAACAGAAAUGCUCAGGUAUAUGCACUAGAAACUUUCGUGUGCACAUCAGAUUUGUUAGGUCACAUGACAACAAAAAUAACUGUCCGGAGGACAAUUUCUCAGAGCAAGGAUUCCCCCUCUGAGUGCCGUAAAGGGCUAUAUUCAAUGAAUGUCGGAUCCUCUCCGACGGAGAGUGUUCGACACAUCACUAUUCAAUGCUGGCUGGAAACGGCCAGCAUUCCGACAAUGCAGACUCGACUUGAUUACAAGUCGAAUCUGCAUCAGCGGCAAACUGUCAAACAGAAGCGUUUUUCGACAGAAACACAUGGAUUGACGAGUAACUCGCAGAUCCAUGUGUUUUUCGACAGUCGAAAAACGGCACUUUCAUUGAAUAGGGCAAAUGCAACAUAAAACUGUCAAAAAGUGCUGUUUUUCCGACUGUCGGAAAAACCGUCAAAAAAUUGAAUAUACUCCAAAGACUUAAAAACAAAGGGAAAUAUUUCUCAAAUCUUCUAAAGAGGACAAGAGGUGGUGUCUCCGAUAGCAACUAAUCAGAUUCUAGCUUUUAUUAGUACAGUAGUACAUCCUGUGAAGUGAUUGUUAGAAUCUGGUUACAACGAGAAACACCUACACUUGACAUUUUUAAAACGUUUGAUUGAUCUCUUCCUCUCCCAGACCUAUAAGGUUAACAUUGUGACAGACUGAGAUGCGGCUGUUUGUGACUGCUAGAGUGAAGUGUCUGCUUCCUGUGCUUUCAGUAGAUGCAGGUGUCACUAUACCAACUUUGUUUUAUAAAUGAAUCCUCUGAUCACAUUUAAAGUGGUUCCCUGCAAUUUGAAAUACCUGCUUUGCCACACCCAGAAACAUCUGUUCACUAUUCAUUACCCUACAGUCUGCAACAAGGUAUUAUUAUGAAUAGUGUCAUGUCAUCACUAGAAAAUGAUAUUAAGAGGUGUUUCCUGAGAACCUGGGUGUAAUGAGAGGGGGGAAGAGGUUUGGCUACUGCUCAGUUAUCAGGGCUUAUUGCAAGUUUACAGUUUUCAUUUCUGAAAUGGCACUGAUUUUUCUAUACAUUGUACCUACAAAUGUUAUCUGUUUGACACAAUACAAUAAAUCAGAGUUUCUUGUA